rnacentral:rRNA from 1 species
UUGAAUAUACCGGUUCUCGUUAGAUCACCGAAGUCAAGCAUCAUUGGGCGCGGUCAGUAUUUGGGUGGGUGACCACCUGGGAACACCGCGUGCCGUU